CUUCAGUAAGGCCUUUGAUGUGGUGUAGUGGAAAUGCUAAUUCAUGGCCCGAAACUGUGAUAGAGCACCUGGCAGGAAGGCAGGCCAACUCCAGGGAACUCAGGUGUAUGUAAUGUAAUGCACCUGAGUGACUGGAACCAGUGGAGCCAGGAUCCACUCUUUCCCAGACCUCAUUUGAGAGUUGAUAGUGGAGGUGAGAGUAUCUCUGUCCCUCUCUUCCUGAGGCCUUCCAAAGAAGAUAGGCAGUGAGGAGGAGGAGGAGGAGGAGGUGAUAUUGCUGAAAACAUUUUGCAUAAGUAAGUCUUGCUAUGAUGCUUGCAGAACUGCCUUCAACGAAUGAUGGACAAGACUUUUGACUAUCACAUUGAGUAUCAUAGAUUGCGUGAAAAAUUAUAGAGGGGUUUAGGUUGUUGCGUUCAUGCUGUAACGGGGCAAGGCUUGGCCGAGCACGGAAAAGAAUUCCCUGUUGCUCUGAUGAUUGCUUAAGAACUGUAGUAGAAAAUAGUAGGAAUAGUGUGCUGAAAUAUAUUUAGGAUUAGGCGUUUUGCGCUGCUUCGCGAUGUAUGGGUUAGGUGUGUGUGUAAGUAGUAUUUAGCUUAGGGAGGGGGAGAUGUUGUAGUAGGCGUCUUGCGGGGGCACGGGAUGUACGGGACAGGCCUCUCCCUAAACAUAGAGAGAUAGUGCUAUCGUGCUGACCUUGUUGCAGAGAAAACAGGAGAAGAAGAAGGAUGAUAAAAGAAUGUGGAAACGGCCAAAUAAGGCACAAUGUUAUCUGGUGUGAACUAAUCAGAGUGGGACAUGACAGCACGGUUAUCUAGGUAAAAAUGUAUAUAAGCUGUGUUUAGUAGUGAAUAAACGCCAUUUGCCUCACUUACUCCUGGGGUCUGGGUGAGCAUCUGGCCCCGACCUGGUAAAGGGUCGGUUUCGCCCAGCAGUAAGCCCUACAUGUGGACAGAGGACGAACACCGGACGAGCGAACGGAGACUACAUGCAACAGA
rnacentral:lncRNA from 1 species